UACGUAGGGUGCAAGCGUUGUCCGGAAUUAUUGGGCGUAAAGAGCUCGUAGGCGCCUGUCGCGUCGGCUGUGAAAACUCGAGGCUCAACCUCGAGACGUCGGUUGAAACCGUAUGGCUAGAGUCCGGAAGAGGAGAGUGGAAUUCCCGGUGUAGCGGUGAAAUGCGCAGAUAUCGGGAAGAACACCCGUGGCGAAGGCGGCGACCUGGACGGACACUGACGCUGAGACGCGAAAGCGUGGGGAGCAAACAGG
rnacentral:rRNA from 1 species